UCAUUCACUAGGUGGAGUUUUGUGGGAAAAAUUGGUUCUUUGACCAUUAUUCUGUCACUAUCAGGUUGAUGUAGCUCAAAUUGAGUUCAUAUCGAUUUAUUUUAGGUCUGUCAAA